rnacentral:lncRNA from 1 species
AAGGUAUUGAGGAACCAUAUAAUGUUAUUUACACUACCUACUUUCUAAUCUGCCUCAUCUACUCACCUUCCUCUUUCUCUUCCUGUAAUCUUAUUGCAUGGAAGAAAUUUUUGGUGAAGACAAGUUGUCUGUUUUUCUUAAAAUCAUUUUUUUAGCUAGUGGUAUGUCUCGAACACUUUCCUAAUAGUUCAUUGAGAUAAAGUCAUAACAUUUUUUUUUUCUUUCUUCGCUACCCUCACUCAUUGCCCCAUUGGAAUUGACUGCAAAUUGCAAUUUUCUAGAGAAAGAAUCAGUAAUCCUUUCUACACAGUGGCCUUGGUGAUUUCAAAACUUUAAGAAUAUUUAAAAUAUUCAAGUUCUUUCUCCAAAAACUGGUGACUUUCUGCUGCUGAGCUCCUGAAAGUUUUUGAGAAGAAAGUUGAAAGGUUGAAAAUGGUGCUGUGUUUAUUUGAAUAUCUGAAGGGUAAACUCCAAGCUACUUAUCUGAAAACAAAUAUUCUCUGAAACCUGCAGAGUAAAGAAGUAUAACUUGACAUUUCUUCUGCAAGAAAAAAACAAGAAGAUGGUGACUUUCAAGACCUCAGUCAAUGACUAAAGUUCUGUGACCACAGUGAGCCUUGGCCAUCAGUGAUGGUGAAAGCAACAGAUGUCAGAUGUCAGCCCCUGGCUUCCUGCCUUACCGUAGAGGGAUACUCGACAGACAGACUGGACAGAUCACUCAUGCUGGGGAAAGCCAGGUGUCAUGUCUUGGGGAAUCCAGGUGUUAUGUCUUAAGGACAGGCUGGCAGACCUGUGCAUACGCCCAUGUAGCGAGAAACUAGACCCUCAGCUCAAGACACUGAAAGAAACCUCAUGAAACAACUUGAAGCUCUGACCCUGAACCACCUAGCUAAACUGCUCUUAGAUACCUGAUUCUCAGAUACUAUUGAGAAAAUAAACAAUAAUUAUUUUAUGUUGCUACA